GGAGAAGUGGCCGAGUGGUCGAAGGCGGGCGCUUGGAGAGCGUCUGGGCGGCGACGUCCCGGGGGUUCGAAUCCCUCCUUCUCCGCCA
rnacentral:tRNA from 4 species